GCACGGCUUGCCUUCUGGUGAGGGCCCCGGUCUUACAAACCGGUUCAGCAGGGUUCGAUCCCCUGGCCGUGUA
rnacentral:tRNA from 1 species